CUGUCCUUCAUUACAAAAGCUGUGUCUAAAAUGGCAAGUGAUGUGUGGGAUUAACAUAAAAACCAACACAUUUGGCAAGCGAUCAGAAUCAAGGGAUACAGCUGCAAGUAAUGCACAUCACUCGAAAGUGCUUCACACUUUCCAGACACUGACAACAGUAAGAAAUGUACCUGCGGCACGCCUCUCAAAGAUGACACUAUGGAUAUGCACAUUGCGUAUCUUGCCUCUGGGUGGUGCAAACCUUGGGGCGAGUGUGUGCCGCAUGCUGCGGAAGAUUGGGACGAAUGGACUUUGGUCCAACUACAGUCAGAAGGGGAGAAAAGGAAAGAAGUUUGAGAACCUUCCCACAAGCAGAUCAGUCAUCCAUAAGUUGAACAACAAAUCAUUUUUAGUGUGAUACAAAUCUGAGAACCUUCCAUUGUCUUUAUUGGCUGGGGAUGGGAGCAAGUUAUUCUUAAAUUCAUAAGGAGCAUGUGUGAGGAACCAUCCCAAGGCCAAAAUAUCAGCAUCGAGUUAGAGAUUGGCUAGACACUGAAACAUGCACCAAACAAAGCAGGAGGGAAGAACAAGACACCAACCGCUUCAGAAGUGACUAGAGAUGGAGUUCAGCUCUGAAGAUGAGGACAAUGAUUAAUGAUUUGUAAUUCCAUAAAACAAGAAGUGUAAAGUGCUAAAUAAAUGUCAUUAACAGA